GUAACGCGAUAUAGGAGGUGCAGCAUAGGUGGGAGGGCUUCCUUGUGGAGCUCGGCUCUGAGAUACCACCACUCUUACUGUUGCCUUACUUACAUGAUUGGGUGGAACAAGCGCGGGCCCCAGGUCCAGAUCGUG
rnacentral:ncRNA from 1 species